UAUCAGAAGACUGAAGGAGUUGUGAUGGAUGUACUGUAUGAGAAAAUGGAAGUGCUGGAAAUAAACUUGGGGAAAUCAUAAAAUCGUAGGAGGUGGUUAGAUGAGUUCAUUGCUUUCCUCAGUGCAUGAAUUUCUAUGGCCAGUCACAGGAAAAGGCUUUCCUUAGGAACAUUUCUGCUGUGCAAGUUUCCCCUGUCAGUGCUCCAAGCCCAACUGUGACCACAUUGCUGCAGCUGGCGCUGGGCUGGAUAUGAUCACCCCAAAACUUCAGAGAAACAGAGUCCAUUUAGAGGGGGCUUUCAGCUGCAGUUACAGUGCUGAGGAAAUGCCUGCUUCUUAAAGACGUACAGUGGUAUGUAGCUCCAAGCCAGCGCCCUGAUUGCUGUUACUCACACUGCAAUAUUGGACUCUGUGCCCUCCUUCUCUUCCUAAAAGGGCUACUCCUAGUCCUCAUGAGACAGUGCAGUCUGGGAAGGCGACUGAGAAAUAAAAGAUCCUCUGCUAAUCCCAAAAGAAAACAAACACUGCAGGUAUUUCAUGUGACAACAGUGAACUAUUUUUAUCCUUGCAGAUGGCUGUGAUGGCCCCCUUUAAGUACUGGAAGGAUGCUGUAAGGUGACUGGGGACUUCUCCAGGCUGAACUACCCCAGCUCUCUAAGCCUUUCAGUAUAGACAGCCUGUCUCUGUUUUCUCAGAAUUUUCCUCCUGGAUAUACAGCCUUCAAGCAAGUUAUCCUCUUUUCAGUUUCUGGAAGUGGUCUCAGGUACACAAGGCCAGCUUCCUCAUACUAUCAUAGAAUCAUAGAAUCACCAAGGUUGGAAAAGACCCACAGGAUCACCCAGUCCAACCAUAUCCUCGUGGGACAAGUGCUCCUUACCUCUGCCAUCUCAGUGGCCUCUGCUGAUGCAACUCCAGUUUGUCAAUGUCUCAAUUAAAAAUAAGUAGUGUAUUGUAGAAUCUGUAAGAAUCUCAAUAUGACUGAAGCACUCAGAAUAUGAGAAAUACUGAAUCAGAUAAUUUUUGAUGCGAGUAGCUUUUUUUUAUUUGCAUCUGGAAUACUAUAAAUGAUGUAUUGUAGAAAACAGACACAAAAUAUGAACUUCAAGGAACUCAUUUUUCAAACCUUCUGGAUUAUAAUUUAUCCAAAUGAAUUGAAGUCAAUAUACUUUGAAUUUUCUUAUUCCUACUCUUAUUUUUACUUUUGUAUCCUGUCAAAUAUGCUUCAGCCCAAAAACAAAGGGGUUCAUGUACUACUAGACCUUGAUGAAUAUGGUCUUUUCCCAUGGCAAAGUAUUACAUAAGGAUUUAAAAAGAACAGCUAAGCAUGUAGAAUAUUCAUUACAGUUGACUGUGAAAUUCCCUAAUGUGCACAAAAAAACCUGCUACCUACCCAAUUCAGUUAAAUCACCCUACAUUUUGUAGAAGAUAUCAAAAAAAAAAAAUCUAACCAAUUUCAUAAAAAGAAUAAUAGCAAGAAAAAAAAAUAGCAUUAGCCCAUGCUACUGACAUUCAUCAUUUUAACCAAGUUAGAAGCAGAAGAGAAAAUUCAGUGAAUUACCAUAAAGAAUUAUAAGUAGAGAAAGAUUUUUUAUGGUAAUGUGUGAGCAACAUGUUGUGUAUUUCAAUCUUUUCCCUACAGGCAUUUUUGGAGUUUUUUUGGUCAAUGAUAACAAAAUAGUUCACCAAUUACCAGGUCAAUCCCAAAAUUUAAAAAAAAAAAAAAUGGUAUUGAUAUUUAGCUCUGUCUUUAUGUUAUGGGAAAAGAUAUGGAAAUUGCAUAUCUUUGGUACAUUUCCAAUGCUCUAAAAAAAAAAAAAAAAAAAAAUGUUAUCUAAUGCUCAGUAAUGUGGAACCCUGCUCUCUCUUCCUCUCCCUGCUUGCUCACAUAUGCCACAACUUGUUCCUACCUUUGUGACUAAAACCGAAGAAGUGUACUUAUAGAUGCAUUCUGCCACUUUCAUUCUCGGAAUUCCCUUGCAGGAAUAUUGUCCUUUCUGUCCAAGUGAAACUGAGGCCUUACAAGCACCAUAAAAUGUUUUCCAUGCCACAGUUUAAUUUGAUUUCAAGACUGUCAUUUCUGAUAGAAGGAACAAGAUAGAACAUUUCUAGUAGUUUAAUGAGGGGGAACACUACCUUUCCUUCUUAAAGUUUUAGUCAAAAAUCACCUCUAACUCCUGCUACAAUAUUUAUUUUUAUAUUUUUUGUUUGAAAAGCUUUUACAAGGUAAGAAAAAUCUACACAAUUCAGAAGUCCUUUACUUUUGCCAGUCUGCUUACAGGUUAAAGCAUUACACAGAAACCUCACAAUUGAACUUGAUAAUCUUUUCAAAUGAUACACUAAAACCAUCACCCAGUUUCAUUAGGUAGUGCACACGCUGAGUUCUUGACUCACCUACUGCCUGCAGCAGCUGUUGCCCAGUGACUGAAUUAGUUACUGGGAGAAUAAAGACACCUGGGACAAAGGCACUUCCUUUUCCAUUCUGAGGUUCCUCACUGUGGUGCCAUGGCAAGGCUAGUGCAAGGUUAUUUUGAUUCUGAAUCUGGCAAUUGCAUUAGUCCCUACACAAAAGAGACAAAGAGCUGAGAGCAUAGUACUUAUGAGUGACAGCAAGUGUAAUGAUCAGUGUAAAAGCUAUUCUCCUUAUUUCACUCUUAAAACUUCAUCGUUUGUCCACACUUUUCUUAAAAGUGUAUGUUUUCUUGAGUAAUUGACACACUGUUGGAAAGUUUUUCAAGAUCGAGUGAACUAAACCAACUAAAAUGAAUCCUAUCCUAUGAAGGUUUCACUAAGAUUGCAAGAAUACUCAUGUUCUGAAAAUUAUCAGAAGUUAAAAAGGAAACCAAUCCUAGUUUAUACAAAUUAAUACCAUUUUAAAGCCUAUGUUCAAGACUAAGGCCACAGUGACAACAGAUGUGUCAAAUUUUCAGCUGAUUUUAAUCAGUAAAAUUCUCUGGGUUCCAAUAGAGUUUUUCUGAUUAAAAGCAGCUGAGAAUUUGGACCAAUUAUUUACAAAUAAAUUAUUCAUGAAAUAAUGGGGGAAAUUGCAAAUAAAUAAUGUUACUGAUAUGGCCUGGACACUAUUUUUACAAAAACAGAAUUUGAUAAUUAAUUGACAAAAAAAAAAUCAGUUGUCAUUACUAUUCAUCCCAUGUAAAAAGAACUUGGUAUACUGUAAUAACGUGAUAACAGUGACUGCAGAAUUGUUUAUUGGAUAAUUGCAAGCUAUAGGAGUGGAAAGCAUGUGUAUAGCUUACUCUGAGAUAGAAGCUCUUUUGUUAAUUAUAUUGCUAUUACAAGUCUACUAAUCACGCUAAUAUGAAACAAAGAUCAGUUUGACUCCAAAUAUCCAAAUAAAGUAUUUCAGAGUAGAUUAUGGAACAAAUCUUGACAAAUCUUGCAAGUGGCGGAACCGAUUUGAACAUGUGCCUCUGAAAAACAUCACUUGUUUAUACCUGAGAAUAGUGAGAGAAAAUAGAGAGGAAUCACAGUAUUGGAUACAUAAGCUAUUACUGGGUUCCAAAAACAACGCAGUACGCUAUUCCUAACAUCAGGCUCAGCAUCAACAGAGGAAACAAGCUGGAAAUUUGAAAUUAGUUAAACUUGCCAUGUUUCAACUGCAUCCUGGAUAUGUCUCAAGUAAGUAUAAACAAAUUUAAAUAUACUGAAUAAACAUCUGGACCAUUAAUAUUGUCAUAUAUAAUCAAAUGAGAAAACCAUUGCUUAGACUCAGUUAACUUUCCCAGGUACUAGGAACACUAGAAAAAACAGUCUUAAUUGUGCAAGCCAACAUAUGUCAAGCAUUACCAUAUUACCAAAUUAUUUAACAUAGCAAUUAAAAAUUCUCCCAGAGAAAAUCACUAUUAAAAGCAAGGAGUUCAGUUCCCGUAGCUAUCUGUGCUUGGUAUUUAUUUUUUUAGAUUUCAUUAGUUUCUGAAUGCAUCAACAACUUUACUACUGUGGAAGACUCACAGAGCUUUAGGCCCUGAAGUUUGUUUUCAGUUCAAUAUUCAGCCAAAAUAGACAAAUUGAAGUCUCAUAUCUUCUGCUAAUGUAGUAAUAGGGGUAGCUGAGACCCAGCAUCAGCAGAAUCCAACAUUUUUCAUAAAUUCUUCAUAUCUGACAGUACUGAAUGUUUUUACUUGGUACAUCACUAUUCCCCUUCCCUUUGCUCUCUUCCAUUCCAUGUCUGUCAUCUUUUUCUCAUUGUAUGCCAUAGACCAGCACAAGUCAGACUGUAACUACUAUCUUGUGUUACAUGCCAACAAGGCUCCCAUUUGCUUGGAAACCAUAGUUCUAGGAGAAAACAGUUUGGGAAAAAAAGACUUGCAUCUUCCUUCCAUUGCUGGCCUAUGUUUAUAACAUCCUUCUAUCACUCUCAGUAAAACUGUAAAAAAAUUUUCUGUCAAGAAAACCAAACUAGAGGCAUUAUCUUUCCUGGUUAAGCUGAUAAAUUCUUUCCUGUCCUCAAUAGUCUUCAAAAGUCUGCACCAACACAGUGAGGUGUUAGUGCAAGUCUUGGGCUCAUGUCUCAUGGACAAGUUUGAAAAGAGGGCAAGUAAUUUUGUUCAAAAUUAUUGCUCGUAUUUCUUCUGUUUGGAUUACAAUUGUGCAGGGAUUUCUCUUUAAAUUGCAGGAAGGAUACUUGACAUUUUUUGUGAAAGGGAAAACAUUGCUCUGUCAGUUCUUUCUUUCUCCUUCACUUCUAUUAUAUGUAUAUAUGUGAGCGCAAAAUGUAGUCAACUAAUCCUGACUACAAAAAUGUUGAAGUGUAACUACUCUUUUUUGUAUUCUGUCAAAUACUGAAUGCUAAAACUGUGGUUGUUUGGGGACCAGAGCAUCAUCCUUUGUGUUUUAUAGCAACCCACAUAAUAGAAAACGUGAGCGUAACUGCUUCCAUUUCAGCAGAAUUACAUUUUGUCUUCAGUGGUGCAAAUAGCAUUGCAGUCCAGGGUAGGAUUAGAAAGGUGCUUAUCCACUGAAUGCGCUUUCUGUUGCUUUGGCAUUAUGUAAUUCUAAGUCUCUCACAAAUCACUUUCAGUUAAGUAGGGGGAAAAAUAUGCAUCACUGUAUUUCUGUCCUUGCUCAAAUUGGCUGCAGUGCAAAUCAGAGGAACCAACUGCAGAAAGAUACACUAAAUGUAAAGACAAAAUGGAAUCUAAAAAAGAGCACAAGCAUAAUUUGAAGACUGCUAGGUUAAAAAACAGAAUGAUAAAAUCCUAAUAAGCUCUCAGACACCUAGUAGUCCACAGGGCUUGAGUUUUCCCCAGAAAACUUGUGAAGGCUAAUUUCUCUGCAGAUACGGAACUGCCAUCUUGAAGUAAAAUCUGGUAAGGAUAGAAUAACAGCGUCUAUCGAAUACACGCACUGUCAGUUUUAUUUACGAAUGUGCGUGGAAGAGAUAACAAUGCCCACUUGUGGUAUCCGAGUUCAGAAGGCUGACUGUCCUCAGUGGGGUAUGCAGAUCGCUGGGAGUCCAUAGAAGUCAGGAAGAGAAAAGAGAGAAAAAAGAAGAAAAAAAGAAUUCUAUACCUCUUGCUGAAUCUAGCAUUUACGUAUAGAAGGACGACAGAUUUCAAGGUAAGGGAGAGGCAAGAGUAAAGCUCUGCAAGUGUGCCUGGCUUCCUAAUGUAGCGAUGUGGAGCUGAAGGGGGAUUUCAGGGUAUUGCUCUCUGCAAACGUGCUCAUGCCUUUUCUUUUCAUUUUAAAGGUAAUUAUAUAAAAUUUUGCUGAAAUAUAACACUCCCAGUAAAGUCUUUUAAAUAUGAGUGUGUGUGUGUGUUCACUCUACUGCCCAGAGUUAAAACUGACAAAUCUGGGGCCUCUGUAAGGAAAAGCGUUUCUCUGCCACAUUCUGUAUAUAGCCAGCAGCUCCUGAGCCACAGCUCUUUCCUUCCAAAGACCAAAUAUGAUUUUACCAGGGAGACUGUGUUGUGUUUUCUCAGCUGUAUUGCUUAUUUCACACAUUUUUUUUAUUGCUAAUUCUGCCCAACUGAGGGAGCAGAGAGUCUAGCUUGUGGCCUUUCUCAGAGUGCUCCAACAAAUCAAACUGCUAUGACCACUGCUGAAAAAAGAGGUCUUAGGUGGUCAAGAAACUGUGAUGACAGAGAACCAAACAUAAGAUUCAUGUCUUUUUAGUUUGGACUGGAAGUGACAUUAGAGAGCUGUUCCCAGGGCUUGCAAAGAAAGCUACUCAUGCAGAAAGGUUGUGUUUAUGUUCAGUGCGGUCAAAAUCUUUAAGACAGCUAACUUUAUGCCUCCAGAGUUGUCUACAAAAACAAAUCUGUAUUCUUUUAGCAUGACUUACACUUUAAAAAUAUCUAUUGUAAUGUGCUUCUCUUUUUCAAGACAUGAUAUCAUAGUAUGGUUGUUAUCACUACAAAGUUUAGCACAGGAUAGUGUUUGAGAGGAACCAACAUGGCCUUGCAUUCAGAAAAAGGGAACUCUGAGGCUCAUAAGAUUUCUGAUAUCAUACAGGCAUAUAUCUGCGUUCUCUAUAUUUUCAAUGCAAAUUAUAUUCUCAUUACUUUUUAAUGGAAGUUUUCCAAUAAGCUUGAUUUGUUUUUUUUUUAACUUAUGUUGUCAUGCUCAAUCUCUGCAUGGUAUUUCUUCAUUUGUGAGCAAUUCAUACACAAUAUUCCUCAGGUCUUUUUUUAGGUAUCCAAAUGAUGAAAAGCUGAGCCCCUCUGUGGGAAGUUGAAAUGAUACUCUCAAGGUCAUUUCAUCCAAAUGACAAUCUUCUUUUUACUCUCCUAAGCUGGCUGCAAAUGCAUUACACAUGUUAGUCAUAAAGUCAAACCCACUGUUUACACGAGAAAGUAGAAGUUGGGGUAAUGCUGUUUUGCACCUGUUGUUAUUCUUGUCCAGUAAGAAAAACUAUGUGUGAAAUACAUUGCUGUGUUUUCCUAAUGAUUUGCAGAAGAGUAAGAGCUUUGCUUAACAAUGGCUGUUUUUUUUCUUCUAAGCAAGGCUUCUGACAUCAUCCUAAAGCAUCUACAGGCAUAAAUUUUUAAGAACAUAAAAAGUUUAUGAGGAUGUGGAAUCACGGAGAAAGAGUCCGGAACUUUUGUGAAAACAGCAAAAGAAAAAUGUAAAAAGCUAAGCUACAGCACAUACCAGAGGCUGAAGGCUGACUAACAUAAAUCCCAUACAUAUGUAGUAGGAAGUAAUACCAAGAGGAAACUGGAAGGCCUAAUUAAAUGAAGCUCAUACCUGAUGAAUGUUCCUGAUGGCACUGGAAUAAUGCAGCAGAAAUGAAGCAGUACACAACAUGGAUCUUGAUUUUAGAAAGGCUUCCUAUACUGUACAAACAAGUCAAAUUCCAUAAUCUAGCUGCUGAGGUAAUAGUGUGCAGCCGCCAACAGCAGACUGCUAAUUAUUAUUUUUUUAAUUUACCUGGUUGGAAUAAGGUAAAAAUCCAGAAAGGUAUAAAGAUUCAUCACUAAAAUUUAGGUGCAUCAUUUCUAUAUCAAUUUAAAUUUAGAAGGCUAAGAAAUGUGUAAUCUAAGUGGUUCUCUGGAUAUUGGUUUGUGGUUGAACCUUUAUUGGGGUAAAACUCAGCACAUGGUAGCUGUGGCCACCUGAACUUUUUCCAUUGUUUCAUCCUUGAAAAUUUGGGUUAUAGCUGUUUGAUUUAUAAGAAAACAUUGUGUUUGAAAAGGAUAAUUUUCAAACAAAAGAAGAAAGUAGCAAUUUUUCCAGUAAAAAAUUUCUGAUAGGAUCAAUAUAGCAGAGGUGGAAGUAGCUUGGUUCAGCUUUAGGCAUUCAGCUUAAUCUGAAGAGUUUUUAUUUUAGCAAAUCUAUCUACUCACCUGCUGGCUUAUCUAAAAGUCUACUGGGGUGUCUGUGCAUCUCUUGGCCUAUCUGUAUAACGGUAAUAAACAUAAUGGAACAGUUCUGGCAUCCUACUCAAUAACAGAGUGAGAAGAAAACUCCAAGAAAAGACAAAAUCCUGCUGAAAACCAGCCACUGAGAAAACUCCAUAUAUGACAGCCAACAUUACACUCCUGACUACAAAAUUCAGAGACCUAUGCAUUUUAACCUGUAAUCACAACCUUUGAUCACAAGGCGUCUCAUGUUCAACAUUCCUUUCAAGGCUCCUUGAUGCUGUAAGAAACACCUGCAAGCAAUCAGCUGGUGCUCUGGAGAAUGCUUUCAGUUCCAGGACAGAAAACGUAAAGAAACAUGAACAUUACAUGAAAAGCUUAUGUGGACAUUUUAUAUAUUUGUAGGUAUCUGCCUCUUCUCCCGAAGCCUUUAGAAGCUGUACUUCAUAGUGGAAAGGUAGUAGCCAAAGGCCCUGCAAACCGUCAUGUGUUUUUCUCUUCCACUUGCCAGUUGAUUGACUUAGAAAGGAGACACCACCACUCAGAGCCUUCCUCAGUUUGUGAGUCACUCUCUCCUCUCCCACCAGGCAGCUGGGAUCAGCAGACAUUAGGUAAUUAGCAACGUUGGCAGAAAACCUGCUGAAGCUGGACCACCAUGCUGUAGUUUCUCAGAGAAAUAAUUAUUCCUAACUCUGUAACAGGAUGAAAUGAAAAUUCUCUGGAGAAGAUGCUGGGAGCAACACUUGUCUUUUUGCAUUAGGAAGCACUCGAACAAAAUGUUGUGACAGCCAGGCCUAGUUCCUGAGAUUUAUUUUUUUCUGAGGACUAUCUGUCUGCACUGGUUUCUGGAGAGGCUCAUUUCAUCUCCAUCAGGGAGGACAGAAGAGUGCUCAAGUACUUCAGUCUGGCUUGAUGCAACCAAGACAUCAAACUCACGCUCAGGUUUCAGCCUCAGAGGUCGGAACUAAAAGCAGCUGAGAAUCCAGAUCUUCAUCUUCCGAAGAUAACUGAGCACAUUUCUCCUCCCCAGGAUGCUGGAUAAUCUGUUUGUGACCACGGAGCUGGCAAGUCUUAUCAGUCAGCCUUAUCAGCAUCUUUUAGGCUACCCUGAGCAUAUGCAGUAGCAAAGGGCCAUUCAGGAAGAGCUGCAGAGAUUUGUAUGUUGUGACUCCUAAACAGCCCCAGUCUCCCAGCCCAGUCAAGGUGGUCAUGCACAGAAUUUUAAACACCAGAGAUACUGAGGAGCAUAGGUGUGAAGAACACGCCGUAUUAUUCUCUUAAAAAUCAGUGUUUUAAAUGUGGCCUAAUGUAUUCCUAAGAUAUUUGUGUUCUUGUGUUGUUGCUUCAAAAUAUAGUGAAAAUAACAGGCAAAGAAAUAUAUAUGUGGGAUUGAUUAAACAUUCAAGAUGAAACUCUGUGCUCUUGAUCAGUUUUCCUGAUAGUUCUAUAUCUCUUGCAAUUCUUUAAUUUAUCCCUUCUGAUACGUGUCAGCAGAACUACGUGGAGAUUUUGUUCUGCUCUUUAUUACUCCAAGGUCAAAAUCUAUGAAGUAAGAUAAAUAAUUUAGUGAUUUUGCCCUUUAUACUGAGAGAUGUUAACAGGUACAAUGCAGCCAGGAACGUCUUCAAUUAUUUAAUUCACACAGUCAAAUGAAAGGAACACUGCUGAAACACUUGCCUAAAUUAUAUCUGUAUUUAUUUAAGAUGUUUUGCUAUCAAGCAGUGUUAAAAGCAGUACGAGUCUUAUUAAAACAACUACUUUUAUCUUGGCAAUCUUCCUUCUCUACUAACACCCUUUAAUGGUUUAUUGAAGGGCUUCCCCUGUCAGGUAAAAAAAAGUCCCAAAGUUACCUGCUUUACCGUCCAUAUUUUCAUCAUCCGUAUUAAAUAAUGCAAUCACCACAAGCAUUAUAAAUUGUAAGAAUCAAUGCUGAGCAGGGACGGCAGUCCAGCCCUAAAGCCAAGGCUGUAUUCCAACAGUUUCAGUAUAGAACUUCUGGCUGGGGCACAGAUGUUCAUUUUCAUGCUGUGAUCUCCAUUCUCCUACUCCCCUUCGCCCAGCCGCGGUUGGCACUGCAGACACGUCUUUAUUGUAACUUUGUACUUGUGUGGAUUGCUUUAACAAGUAUUGGCAAGUCGAGUAUAUGACGGUUGUAAAUUUAGCAGUAAAUAAAAGGCCUUAGGUAACCUUUUCCCCUUUUCUGGGGUUUAUUAUAUAUUGCUUUGAUUAUUUGAUUAAUAUCUAAACAGUAUCAUCUUUGUAACAUGCUGCCACAAAUAUUUGAGGGAGGAUCAUUUCAUCUAGCUGAAAUACCUGCAGACAUGCCCCAGGACAGUCAUCACUACAUGCUAGCCAUUUGUCUGCUCCAGGUGUGGCUUGGUGCUCUCCAUACAGAGCCUGCAGUGCUGGGCCACCUGCUUCUGGCUUGUGAGAACUCUGGGGGUGACAGAGGGCAGGUCUACCAACCUCCGUGCCUCCUGCUGAAAUGGCCACCUGGGAGAGAAGACUGCAAAAUUCCCAAAGACAGAGGAUCGAAGAAAGAAGAGCAUGACUCAAGAGCCGAAUGAAUAACACAGCUGUCUAAAGGAUGGGGAAUAUGGGGACUGCUCCCUGCUACGGAAAUCUUCAUGGCUCCGGAUGGGUUUUUGACCUGAACUGCAAAAGCAAUCCGAGAACGUGGACCCAAAACCUAGGCGUUCUGGUAAAGUCUUCUGAUCAUCAAGGUACAAAAUCCUGCUUUCUCACGUUUGCUGCCACUAGGCCUUUGUCUUGAAGAAACAGGAGCAACUUCUUUGUCUUCUAUAGGUUAGAAGAUGAAAGCUGUCCUAAUCUCUGCUUUCUUUGAUCACUUAUCAAACAAGAACCUGCCACCUACCAGGAUCUUUUAAUAGCAGUGCAAACAGCUCCUAAAGCUGUUGAGGAAUGCUGUUUGCUCCACACCUGUGGAAAUGGAAGGAAUUUGUCAGGAAAAAAACCAAGACAGAAAAUUUUCUACAUUUCAAAGCUGCUUGAAUUUUAUAAUGUUCUCUUUUUACUUUAAAAUAAUGCUUUCGAUAGUUCUGUGGAAUCUUUUGUUUUCCCUUAACAGAAGCAGCCUCCACUCAAUAUUAGUCAAUAUAUAUUAAAUAUAUAUAUAUCAACAAACCAACAAUGUCCAGCUCUGCAAUAUAUGUGUUAUCUCUUUCAAAAUGAAGAAAUAAAU
ensembl:lncRNA